GCGACCCCAGGUCAGGCGGGGCUACCCGCUGAGUUUAAGCAUAUCAAUA
rnacentral:rRNA from 6 species